AACAAGAGAGACAGACAUACAGAGUACCGGAGCAGAGUAGCCAAGAACUCUGCGAGUUCCACAACAACCACAACAACGAGUUUAAAGAGUUGGACCCACUUUUGUCGACAUCAACUCCAAACGGGACGACUGUGAACUCCCCAGAGAAGAACAUCAAACCUGACAAACCAGCAGAUGCCGAACAAACGGGGGUCACUAGUCACGACGACGACAAAAAAGGACCUGACGAACCAGCAGAUUCAGGACAGGAGCCGACGGUCCCGCCGCCCAACGACAACAACAAAGGACCUGAACCAGAGCCAGCUAAGGAGGAAGAGGAGGAUGCAGCCGAGAUGGACCAGAGCUGAAGUUAUCUC